UACAUAGGGGGCAAGCGUUAUCCGGAAUUAUUGGGUGUAAAGGGUGCGUAGAAGGAGAAACAAGUUGGUUGUGAAAUCCCUCGGCUCAACCGAGGAACUGCAACCAAAACUAUUUCCCUUGAGUGUCGGAGAGGAAAGUGGAAUUCCUAGUGUAGCGGUGAAAUGCGUAGAUAUUAGGAGGAACACCAGUGGCGAAGGCGACUUUCUGGACGAUAACUGACGUUGAGGCACGAAAGUGUGGGGAGCAAACAGG
rnacentral:rRNA from 1 species